rnacentral:lncRNA from 1 species
UUUUGGUCCCUGUGACAUUAAAUCGAUUAUGAAUAUGAUUAAUUGGUUCAAGAAAAUCCAAGAAGAAGGGAAUAGAAGACCAAGGGUACACCAGGACCUGAACAAGUCCCAAGUGGGCCCCAGGCGGCCAAACCAGUCGUAUUCCUCUCUGCUUCUCCAAAAUAUCUCAUCUUUUCCCUUUGCCUCAAACUUUCUGCAUAUGACAGUAUAGAUCAGCCUACAACAUUCAAAUUUUCAGUUUACUACCAAAGAUGCUUUAUUAAUCUUUUUACCUCAGCAACAGAAAUCCCAAGGAAGAAAAUUAGUAGCCUAACUUGGGGCAUAAGUCCACCACUGCAUCCAACAAACUGCAGAGAAAAAAGGAUGAAUCCUGCUAAGGAGAUGCCACUUCAUGUGAGGAUA